CAGUUUAUCAUCAUCGUUAUCAACGAAACAUGUCUGAUAUUAUGGGUUCGAUAUCUUUCAGGGUGAGUGCAGGAAAUGGGUUAAAGAAUAGCAGAUCGAUUGCUUUUGUAUCAAGAAGCAGCCGCCUUGUUGGAGAGGUGAAGCAUGGGACGUUGACGAAUAAGAAUAAGAAGAAAGGGUUUUGGUCAAAGUUGCUUCAUUUGAAGGGAAAGAAUAACGAGGAGAUUAAUUUUGGUGGAAAGAU
rnacentral:misc_RNA from 1 species